rnacentral:rRNA from 1 species
AUUGAACGCUGGCGGCAGGCCUAAUACAUGCAAGUCGAGCGGAGCGGCGGACGGGUGAGUAAUGCCUAGGAAUCUGCCUGGUAGGGGGGGAUAACGUCCGGAGACGGGCGCGAAUAUCACAUCCUAUCAGAUGAGCCUAGGAUGGAUUAGCGAGUUGGUGGGGUAAAGGCGUACCUAGGCGACGAUCCGUACCUGGUCUACGAGGAUGAUCAGUCAAACUGGAACUGAGACACGGUCCAGACUCCUACGGGAGGCAGCAGGGGUGAAUAUUGGACAAUGGGCGAAAGCCUGAUCGAGCCAUGCCGCGUGUGUGAAGAAGGUCUUCGGAUUGUAAAGCACUUUAAUUGGGGAGGCGGUACCAACAGAAUAAGCACCGGCUAACUUCGUGCCAGCAGCCGCGGUAAUUC